GACCUACGGGAGGCAGCAGUGAGGAAUAUUGGUCAAUGGCCGGAAGGCUGAACCAGCCAAGCCGCGUGAAGGACGAAGGUGCCAAGCAUUGUAAACUUCUUUUGUCAAGGGACAAAAUCAGGCUCGAGAGCCUGACCGUGGGUACUUGAAGAAAAAGCAUCGGCUAACUCCGUGCCAGCAGCCGCGGUAAUACGGGGGAUGCAAGCGUUAUCCGGAUUUAUUGGGUUUAAAGGGUGCGUAGGCUGUGAGGUAAGUCAGCGGUGAAAUGCCCCCGCUCAACGGGGUGAAGUGCCAUUGAUACUGCC
rnacentral:rRNA from 1 species